GUGACUAGUGCAGGCUUCCUGGGGAACCAUUUGAGCUUUGAAGGUGGGGAAGAGGAAUGUCAGAGAGUGGGCAAAAUACAACAGGAAAGGUCCAAAUUCACCCUCUGAGGGCCCGGGGCACGGGGGCAGCCUGCUCUCCUCCUGGGGCCCUGUUCCCUGUGGGGACUGGAAGAGAGGCUUUGAGUCUAGGGCCUGGGGCAGCCAGGACUGACGGGGGUGCAGUCCUAGAAGGGUCGGCAGUCACGGUGGCCCACCAUGGCAUCUCCGUAUCCUUGCUGCAUGCUGCACCCACUCCAGCUGCCAGAGCACGGAGGCAGAGACGUGGGAGCCGAUGAAGGUCGCACGCCAGCCUCCCACCUGUGAGACAAAGGGCCCUGUCACUGGAAGCCACGUCCAGCCUGGCCCCGCAGGAGCCAGGGCUCUGCGCCUAACGGAGGACUGAUGGGAAAGGGAAGGCUGGCAGCAGUGAGGCCAAUGUCUUCACAGGUUUUUUGACCUUGGCAAUGUUCCCGUCAGACUGCAGAAGAAUUGACUAUUCCCGUUCAGGUAGAUGAUGA
rnacentral:lncRNA from 1 species